rnacentral:ncRNA from 1 species
CUCACGACUGUAAACAACGAAGAUUUUGUAAUCGCUAGUCUAUGGGCCGCCGCAUCAGGGGCCCGAUAGGCGACACUAUCAAAUUGCGGGAACACCCUAAAGAUCUUGACACCAAGCGCAGUCGGGAAACCGCUGCGUGGCCGAGCUAACAGCCCUGGGUAUGGUAACAGUUCAAGAUAUGAUCGGGGAGAGCAAUCUCCCGGUGAAAUGGGCAAUCCGCAGCCAAGUCCUAACGCUGAUGGUUUUCAGAAGCUACGGAUGCUGUUCACAGGCCAAAUGGUAGUGGGUGAAGUUGGUUAAUUCAGACUUUGCUUAAGAUAUGGUCGGUCCCCUUAUGAAAGUUUGGGGGUAAGAUUCGCCUGGCACGAGAGGGUUAGCCCACUUGAGUUGGACAAGAAAAAGAU